AUGCACGACCACCUGGCCGCCCUCCUCCGCGGCGGCGGCGGCGGCCGUCACCCGCGCGCAGUCCACGGCGCCGCCGCGAAGCUCGGCUGCCUCGCCUCCACCUACCUCUGCAACAACCUCCUACUCUCCUACAUCAGCGGCAGCCUCCACGCGGAAGCGCGCCGCCUGUUCGACGAAAUGCCCCAGCGCAACGUCGUCUCCUGGUCAGUCCUCGUCUCCGGCGCCUCUCGCCUCGGCGACCUCCGGGAGGCCUCUUUUCUCUUCUCCGACAUGCUUCGUAGCGGGGAGAGCGGAAGCUGCGACCGCCCCAACUCGUUCGUGCUGGGCGCGCUGGUCGCCGGGUGCGCCCGUGCCAAAGACACCGCCGCGGGCUCACAAGCGCAUGCCUCCGCUCUCAAGUUUGGUGUGGCCGAGGACGAGAGCGUUGCGGGGGCGCUGGUGGAUAUGUACUCCAAGUGCGGGCGCGUGGACUUGUCCUGGCGGGCGUUUGCGGUCUCGCCGCAGAGGUGCGUCGCCAGCUGGACGAGCAUAAUCAGCUGCCUUGUCAACCAGGGAUGUUCAGAGCACCGUGAUGCAGCAAUUUCCUUGCUAAAGAAGAUGCUGCUCUUGAAGGUUUGGCCAACAAACGCAACGUUUUCCUGCAUCCUGAAGGUAUUUGAUGCACCUGAGUUGCUCCCUGGUGGGAAGCAAAUCCACGGCUGCUUAUUGAAGAUGGGAACUGAGGUUGAUCCUGCUUUAGGAACUGCCCUUAUAGCGAUGUAUGGUAGAUGCGGUGGAGUGAAUGAGAUGUCUAGGUUGUCUUGCCGUAUAAGGCAUGAUGCCUUCUCCAGGACUUCACUUCUUGUAGCUUUUGCGCGGAAUGGAUGCAACAUGGACGCAGUUUGGAACUUUCGUGAGAUGGUCAUGGAAAAUAUGGCAAUUGAUCAGUCAGCUGUAACUAGCCUACUGCAGGUUUGUUCAUCAUUAGGACAGCUGAGAGUGGCCAAGGAGGUCCACUGCUAUGCUCUGAAGACUUUCUUUAAGCUGGAUACAUUACUGCUCAAUGCAACUAUCACUGUUUAUGGCAGAUGUGGGGAUGUCACAAGUGCAGAGAUUAUAUUUAAUCGUCUGGAAAACAAAGACAUUAUAUCAUGGACGGCAUUAUUAACUUGCUACGCGCAAAAUAAUCUUGCUCUGGAGACACUCUUGCUCUUCAGGGAAAUGCUUCGGAAAGGCUUAGGAUCUCCCGUCUUUUGCAUUACCAGUGUGCUAAGGGCCUGUUCUAGCACCACAAAUUAUGCUGUUGGGUGGCAAAUUCAUUCGAGGGUGGUGAAGUUAGGACUUGAUGAUGCCAAUUCGGUUGAGAAUGCCCUUUUGACCAUGUACGCCAAGUGCGGAAGUGUUCAUAUUGCACUGAAGAUUUUCAAUUCAAUGAGGAGUAGAGGCAUUAUCUCGUGGAAUGCACUAAUCACAAGUUUUUCACAGCAUGGAAAUGAGGUGGCAGCCAUUCAGCUAUUUGACCUGAUGCAAGAAGAAGCAGUUUGUCCAGAUGAUUACACUUUUGUCGGGUUGUUAUCAUCUUGCAGCCGAAUGGGCCUAGUUGCUGAGGGUUGUGAGUAUUUCAAACUGAUGAACACCAAGUACAGUGUGAAGCCUAAGAUGGAGCACUACACAUGCAUGGUUGAUCUUUUUGCCCGCGCUGGAAGAUUUUCGGAUGCACUCGAGUUUAUUGAUGCUAUGCCUUGUCAUCCGGACCAACUCGUGUGGGAAGCUUUGCUAGCUUCAUGUAGGACUCAUGGUAAUGUGGAGUUGGGAAGGCUGGCAGCAAAGAAGAUUCUUGAAAUAAGACCAGAUGAUCCUUCACCAUACAUUACAUUAUCCAGCAUUCAUGCUUCAAUUGACAUGUGGGAAGAGAAGGCUUGGAAUCGUACUGUGUUUGAUGUCCAGCAAGUAAGAAAAGAUGUGGGAAGUAGUUGGGUUGCUGGAGAAGAAUUUUCAGAUAAUACAUGUGAUGUAUUGCAAGUUGGAAUAACGUAA
rnacentral:rRNA from 1 species